UUGACGAAACAACUUUAAAUGCAUUGUAGGUCAGUGUUGCUUGCAGUCAUGAAAGAAUCAGUAGAGAUGCACCCUGUACCAAAGUUAACAUGACCGUCAUUUCCGCAUUGAAAACGUUGGCAAGGCAACCGGUCGCGAUCGCAACAGCACGCCGACGACCUUAAAAUGCUCUUUAGUUAGCUUUCACAUUUCUCCCCUUUCCUGGUUUUUAAGAGAAUAAAAAAAACACGAUGUCUGAAAUUUUGUGUCGGUGGAUCAAUUCAGACCUUAAAUUAUCAAAAUCUGUCGAUCCGAAAACGAUUUCAGCGGAUUUCGCAAAUGGAUACCUGAUAGGCGAAAUGUUGCAUAAAUACCAGCUUCAGGACGAUUUCGACCAAUUUUCAAAAGGCAGGACCGCGAACACCAAGCUGAAUAACUACAGCCGGAUAGAGCCGACGCUGCAGCUGCUUGGAGUGCCGUUUGAUGCGGGCUUCGCGCAGGCGCUGAUGCAGGAGGUCCCAGGAGCUGCCACUCGGCUGCUCUACCAGCUCUAUGUCCUGCUGGAGAAGAAGAGGCGAGCAGGUCUGACAGGUGCCAUUAUGGAAACCAUGCAGCCUGCUGCCACUGCUCGCCUGCAUCGCAUGGAGAGGGAGGUCUACAACGAGCGCCUCAGGACCGUGGUCAAGCGCGAGGCGGACAAACAGCUUCAGAAGAUCUCCCAGAGGUACGAGUUCCGAGGGCAUGAGAUGCUCCGGAGGUCCACCAGGGCGCAGCGUGAAAAGCAGCAAGAGAUGCAGAAGGUUGACAGGGAUAUGCACCUUAAGGAAAUCGAAGAGCGUCGGCUGGCUCGCAGGAAGCAGCAGGAGAUCAUGGUCCAGCUCCAGAACACGGCUGCCCAGACCCCUACGGCCCCGACCAAACAGUCCCUGAGACCCCCGGAGCGUCAAUGGCGUCAGAACCGAAAGCAGAAAGAGGCUCAGGAUGUUCGAAGGGAGAUUGCCCGAUUUGAGAGGAACUUGAAAAAACAACUUCCUGUAGAGAGCCUCUCUUCAAGCGUGCCAUACGGCUUCCCCAGCGAGGGCCUAUGGCCUGAGGAGGUGGCCCUAACCAGCAGCGAGUAUGUCCUAAAGAUCCGCCAGCGGCUGGAGCGGGACGCGGCGGCCCGGGAGCAGCGAGAGAAGCGGCGGAGGCAGGCGCUUGUGAAGCAGUUGCAGGCCCACGAAGAACAGCAGGAGGCGAUCCGUGACGCGCAGCUGGUGGCCCGUCUGACCCGGCACACCAAGCAGGAAAGGCGCGUCGUCGUGCAGCUCAUGCAGAUCCAUCAGCAGAAGGAGGUUCUGCGGCAGAACCGGAUCUUCCGGGAGAAGCAGUACCAGGAGCAGCGCCUGCGGGGCUUUCAGGAAGCUCUUGACCAAGAGGCGGCUCUGGCCCAACAGGCCCGUCUGGACCACGCAGAUGAGCUGUGCAGGGAGAAGGAGAUGCAUGACCGCAUUGCAGCCGAGCGGGUCCAGGCACGACGCAAGAAGCACUUUGAUGCCUGCCAAGACGUCCUUGGACAGAUGGUGGACCUGGCCACCCGGGUCGGGGAGUUCCGCUUGCUCACUGGAAACCGGAUCCCAGCCAAGCUGAUACGGGAGUGGAAGGAGCUGUUUUUCCAUGCCAUGCCACUGUAUGAGGGGGGUGCUGUGGAGACCCCUGCCUCAGAGCCCACCCAGGAGCAGGCCAGGGAGACAGAACAGCUGGAGAUUCUCAACAAUCAGGACUACGAUGAGUAUACAUCUAUGAUGGGUGAGUGGGUGUGGCCAGGGGAAGGUGGUGGCAAAGAACCUCCACCGAACAACUGCAUCCUGGCUCAUGUGGUAACCCGUCUGAAGGCCAUCGUAGAGUCCCCUAUGUCGGCCAGCCCUCCAUCCUUUGUCCUGGGCUUCACCCUUAAGGCGUGUGUCCUGGGAAAGCCCUUCGCAGGAAAGACCACCUGUCUUGCUCGGAUUAACCAAACCCACGGCAUCCAUAUCCUGUCAGUGGGCAUUCUGGUCCAGGAGGCCCUGGAAGCCUUUCGGACAGGAGAGGUAGUGCUGGGUACAGUUCUGGAGGAGCUCGAGACCUUUGUGGGAUGCGCACUGGGAGUCAAACACCCAGACACUUUCUCUUCUCAAUAUCAGCCUCCAGAGAGCAGAGUGUCCUCCAGUGAAGACUGUGAGGAGGUGGAGCAGGAUCAUGGGAAAGGGCAGGACGUGUCUGGGUCUAUCGAGUCAGACCUUCUCUCCCAUCAUUUUCAGCAGCACCCAACCCAGAAAAAGGAGCCCAAGCCUAAGCUCUCAGUGAGGGCCCAACAGGGAGGAGCAGCAGAGAAGAUCCUCAGGAAGGGAAAGGCUGUCCCUGAUGAGCUCUUGGUGGAGAUCAUCGUGGAAGCCAUCAGACGGGUUCCUUCCGAGUCAGGCUGGAUCCUGGAUGGGUUCCCUGUACACUUGAACCAGGCCAAACUUCUUGAGAAGGCUCUGUGUGGGUUCAACCCAGAUGAUGGUAGUAAGAAGCAAAGGAACAGGGAGCCCAACCUUGCUGUGGACCCUAACGCCCUAAAGGAGACCCCGCCUCCCCCACCAGUGCUGGACGUGGUUCUGUUGCUGGACGUGCCCGAUGAUGUGGUCCUUGACCGUGCUGCAAAGCAAGCACUGGAGCAGGGUGGUAGCGGGCCAGCUGAGGAGGAGUCUGGGACGGAGGCAGAUCCAGCAGCAGAGGAGGAGGCUUCAGUAAAACCGCAGCGCAGUGAAAAAGCAGCACCCCUUAAACCAAAGGGCCUGGGCAUGAGCCAGGUCCAGCACAGAGUCACCGCUUUCCAUGGCAACUGGCCCAAACUGGAAAAAUGGUACUCAAGACGGCAGGAUAUCCUAGUGAGGGUGAACGCAGAGGAAGAGCCAGACGUGGUCUUCAGGAAGGUGGAGUCCAUCCUCUAUCAGACCAUGCUGCAGCAAGCCGAUGGGGCAGGGAGGCAGGCUGAGGCUGCCACCGCAGCGUCUGCCCCUGAGCAUCCUUAUGACAGGGGUACCGGCACCACCGAGCUUCCCGCUAACCCACCUGCGGAUGUAGCUUACGUGGAUGAGCCGCUACCUAAGGAAAUCCCAGAAUACCUUGCUCCCCACUGGCAGAAUGUGUGUACUUCAUACGUGACCAACAUCAAGACCGUGAUGCAGAACGUGCGUGCCCAACGCAGUCUGAUCAUCCAACACCUGUACAACAUCAGAGAGGAGUUCAUUCAGUACCUGAAGAGGCCAGACCUGAAGCAGGAGUUUGUGGUCCAGUGGCAGCAGGAGUACAACAGCAUCCCACAGGACAUGAGAUUUGAUGGGGACACCAAAGCGGAGAUUCACCUCCGUCUGGAUGAGCUCAGGGAGCGACUUUGGGACAUCUGUGACCAGCGCAGGGAGGAGGCCCGACGAGAACAGGCAGCCAUUGAGGGGGACAGCUGGAUUGAUGACCACACGGCUAUGCUCAUCAACCACUUCGCAGCCCUCAUGCAGGUGGAGCUGGACCGGUUCCAGGACACCAUCUUACUGCUGAGGGACUAUUACAGCGGGAUGUUGGGUCAGAUCCACCCGGAGACAGUGAUGCAGUUCUCACACGUCCCCAUGCUGGAUGUCAUUGAGGACAAAGGAGACGUCCAAACUGAGAAGGAUGGAGAGGAAAAGAGGACACAAAUAAUCCCCCUGAUCUCGAGGAGCCCUUCGUCAAUAGAGGCGGACGUAAAGCAGAAGGGUUCGAUGGACGGACACCCCAGCGAGAAGCUCUUGGACUCCAUUUGGCAGACCGCACUGACAGCUGUCAACAGCCUGGUGGCCAUAGAAGUUCAGAGCAGGAAGGCUGUGGAGAAUGAGGAGACCCAGCAGCGGAUGGAGCAGGAGCACCUGCAGAGGGAAUCCCAGGCCUCUGUCACCUCCCACAACAUAAAGGAGAAAAAGAAGGGCAGCAGGAAGAAAGAUGUUCAGUCUCCGGUUCAAGAGCCCAGUCCCUGCCCCCCCAUGGAGGAAAAUGAAGAGGAGAUGCGCAGGAGGGCAGUGAGAGCCCAAAUCCACCAGGAGCACGCCAUGGCGGUUGAUGUUGAAGACUGCAGGGCGAGAGCACGCCUCGAGCUGAUCCAGGCCCGGGCCCUGUCCAUGGUGCGAGACCUCCAGCUGCAGGCCCAGCAGACCUACCAAGCCAUGCAGGACCAGCUGAGCGGCCGCUUCCUGGCAGAGAUGACCAGUAUCGAUAAGUUGGUGGAGCUGGUAGGCAAACACAUCGAGUCUGGCUCUCAGAUUAAGUACCAGCUGGUUCUGGAGGGCCUCGACUUCUUCAUGGAUGGGGAGAAGCGUGUUGUGGACCCCCCAGCACCCCCUCCUCGCCCACCCCCGUGGGAGCUGCCACAGGACAGCACUCUCACAAUCCUCCAGUUGAGGGAGCUGCACACUCAGUUUUACAAGGUCGCCCCAUCAGGUCAGCUGUGUGCUGUGGAGUUCUCAGAGAUCCUGCGAUGGCUUGUCUCACUGCACAUGGGCAGUGACGCUUUGCCCAGGCUCUGGAAGUGCCUGUCAGAAGCUCAGAUCCUGAACCUGGUAUCGGUGAUGAGCCAGGACUCGGAGCUGCUGGACUGGCGCCGGUUCCUGUUGAGUGCCGCCAUGCCUUGGCCCCUCCCUACCCAGGCCCAGCUGCUGGAGGUUCUCGCCCAGUUCCGGGCAGCUGACCCCCAGAACACAGGCUUCGUUACAGAGGAGUCAUACCUGCAGACAGAACUGUGGUUCCCCAGUGAGAGGAAGUCGCCGCCCCCUGAUGACCCAUCUGAGCCCCUCCCAUAUGAUCGCCUGGCUAACCUGAAGAAGUUUUUCUUCGCUCUGUUUGCGGACCACACCCCCUCGCCUCCCCGCCUCGACUACGGGACCGUUCUGCUGUACUUCGCCAUGCACCCCGAUUGUGAGCAAGGCUGGGUCCGAGCCCUCAGCGUGGUCACAGGACAGCCGCUGAGAUACCGACCCCGCAGAGCCCCGCUGCUGAAGGUGACACCGCGUCUCACGGUCGCAAAAAGAAAAUGAAAGUGAGAACCCAACAUGGGCUGAGAACUGCAGCUAAGCUUCCAAAGCUACAUACAAAUCAGAGCAGGGUCAGCCAACAGCCAUGCUUACGGGUCUGUCUCUAGGGACCGUCAGCCAACAGCCAUGCUUACGGGUCUGUCUCUAGGGACUGUCAGCCAACAGCCAUGCUUACGGGUCUGUCUCUAGGGACCGUCAGCAAACAGCCAUGCUUACGGGUCUGUCUCUAGGGACCGUCAGCCAACAGCCAUGCUUACGGGUCUGUCUCUAGGGACCGUCAGCCAACAGCCAUGCUUACGGGUCUGUCUCUAGGGACUGUCAGCCAACAGCCAUGCUUACGGGUCUGUCUCUUAGGACCGUCAGCCAACAGCCAUGCUUAUGGGUCUGUCUCUAGGGACCGUCAGCGAACGGCCAUGCUUACGGGUCUGUCUCUAGGGACCGUCAGCCAACAGCCAUACUUACGGGUCUGUCUCUAGGGACCGUCAGCUAACAGCCAUGCUUACGGGUCUGUCUCUAGGGACUGACUGUGAUAUCAGACUUAUACUCAAGACCACUUUAUUGGCCAGCUAUGUCAAGCAUAGGAGCUUUUUCUAGGUAUUACAAUGUGUGUGGCACAGGGCAUAGACAUAAGGUAAUAUAGAAUAUAUAUGAAAUAUUCAUGCAAUAUGCAGUUGCAUAGAAAGAGCGAUAGUGCUGUGAGGAAUGCAAGGGAAAAAUGAGAAGAAAGUGCUCUGCAGGAGUGUGAUACCACUAGUGGUGAUGCGGGGGGCUGUGCUGGUUUAGGAGAGAUACUGAUUUACGGAAGAAGCUGUUGGUCAGUGUAUGUGUGCUCAGGGUUGUUGGCCUUUUGCCAGCAGGGAGGGGAUGGAAGCGUGAUGAGCAGGGUGAGAAAUGUCCCACAUUAUCUUUCCAGCACACAUUAGGACCUGCUGUUGUAGUUCUCCUGCAGGGAGGACAGAUUGUGGCCGAUGAUCUUUUUCCCACAGUCCUAAUCACCUUUUGCAGGAGGAGAGGAAGCAAACUGUUAAAUGAACCAUAUUAUGAUAUGAUUACCGUCUUUCUUGAAAUCAGUGUGGGAACAUAAAGUAUAUCUCUAUGGUGAGCAGAGACAUACCAGUGCCUAAAACUGCCUCCUAGUCUGUGCCGUACAUCGAGGAAGCGUCCGAUUCUGCACACCCAGAGGGGGAGCCAGAGCCAGCCAGCUCGGAAGAGGGAGGGACAGUAACCAUUCCUGCUCUCCUGAAAGUAGCCUGCCACGGAGGCCCAAGGAGCUCCACCCA